GCAUGGUCCUAGGGCUCAGGUCCUCCGAGAGAGAGAAAGAAAGAGAGAAUUAGAGAGAGCAUAUGUGGGAUGGCCAGUCCUCUUCUGGCUGUGCCGGGUGGAGAUUAUAACAGAACAUAGCUAAGUGUCUGGCACAUUUACUUGGUUCUGGAUAGACUACAUAAGGACAGAGAAUGACAUGUCUUCUGAUACUAUCACAGGUUGUAAGACGAGCCUAACUGAUACUAUCACAGGUUGUAAGACGAGCCUAACUGAUACUAUCACAGGUUGUAAGACGAGCCUAACUGAUACUAUCACAGGUUGUAAGACGAGCCUAACUGAUUCUAUCACAGGUUGUAAGACGAGCCUAACGGAUACUAUCACAGGUUGUAAGACGAGCCUAACUGAUACUAUCACAGGUUGUAAGACGAGCCUAACUGAUUCUAUCACAGGUUGUAAGACGAGCCUAACGGAUACUAUCACAGGUUGUAAGACGAGCCUAACUGAUACUAUCACAGGUUGUAAGACGAGCCUAACUGAUAGGCGGGACUGACAGCACUGUUCAUCAAAGCUCAAGCUUGUAAUACAAGCAAGCAUAUUCUGAAUGACCUUCUCAGUCAGGACAGAGCUGAAUCUGUUGUCAGGACCACACUGGUUUGGUCAUUUAAAAGGAAAACGCCAUGCAUUCCUUACCGACAUUAGACCCCCCCCCCCAACAAAAAAAAAAAAA